UACGUAGGGGGCAAGCGUUGUCCGGAUUUAUUGGGCGUAAAGAGCGUGUAGGCGGCCAGGUAGGUCUGCUGUGAAAACUCGAGGCUUAACCUCGAGAUGUCGGUGGAAACCAUCUGGCUAGAGUCCGGAAGAGGAGAGUGGAAUUCCUGGUGUAGCGGUGAAAUGCGCAGAUAUCAGGAAGAACACCCGUGGCGAAGGCGGCUCUCUGGGACGGUACUGACGCUGAGACGCGAAAGCGUGGGGAGCGAACAGG
rnacentral:rRNA from 1 species